CUCCACCUAGGCCGCAAGCCUUUGCGGGAUCAUUGUGAUAAGAUAUAUUCAGGGGUAUAUUUAUAAUAUAACAAUAGUAUUGAUAAUUUAUUGUAAUUUUGUACGAGGAAUUGGUACAAGGGUAUGAUAUUCGACAACAAGGUACGAGAAACUGGUACGAAAGUGUGAUAUAAUUUCAAUCUAUUCGACAACAAGGUACGAGGAAUUGGUACAAGGGUAUGAUAUUCGACAACAAGGUACGAGUAACUGGUACGAAAGUGAUAUAAUGACAAUCUAUUCGACAACAAGGUACGAGGAACUGGUACAAAAGUGUGAUAUAAUUACAAUCUAUUCGACAACAAGGUACGAGGGUAUGAUAUAAUUGCAAUCUAUUCGACAACAGGGUACGAGGAACAGGUAGCCACACCUGCAUCACAAUUAGUAAGUAAGAAUCGCUGCAAUUUAUGAGAAAUACAAACAGAAAUCAUUGGGGAACUUACC
rnacentral:lncRNA from 1 species